UAAUGAGUGUUUUUAUGGCACUUUUUAAAUCCAUAUCCACCUUGUGUGCAAUGUCAGUCGAUCUUCUUCAUGGAGAUCGACCAAACAUCAACCUUUAUCUUUUAACUCUUUGUCUGAAAAAUAUUAUGAAUAAACAAUUCAAAAUA
rnacentral:misc_RNA from 1 species